rnacentral:misc_RNA from 1 species
CCACGUAAUGGUAAUUUUUCUGUGUUGAAUACAUUUACUAAUAGAAAAUAACAUUCACUAAUAGAAAAUUUGAUUUAAAAUGGAUGGAGGACUAAAGGGUAAAUGGAACAAAAAGAUACAGUCUAACUAAUAUAUUUUUCAAAAUAAAAGGAUAAAGUUUCUAGUAGUUUGUUUUAUUAAAAGAGGGACUAAAUAGUAAUUUUUUUAUUUUAAAAUACAAGAUACUCUUUUCUCAUCCCCGCCUUAAUUUUCAUACAUUUCCAGCCGCAUGGUGUCAUGAAUUGUCCCUAAUAUCCUUAAUGUCUGGGUUAAAGAAAUUCAGCAGCAUCACAUUAGUCUGAUGAGAUGACUGUAGAAAAGCUCGUUCUAUUUCUAAUUUAUACAUUUUAUAUUUUUUUGUAGUGUGUAAUUAUUUUUAUUUUUGCCAAAGGAUAGUGCGUAAUUAGCGUGGUUGCUUGUCUGCUACUGUUAUAUUAAUAGGAAAAGAACCCUGGGAAGCCCUGGUCCAAGGAUCAAAUAUGGUCAUUCAAGAGUUGUCCAAAAGUUAUUGGAAGCCCAAUGCUAGAUGCAGUAAUGAGCAAAUCUCCCGUAGACAGGGAGAUGGUGCACUGGUUGAAGCAUAGACCGGCACUAUACCAUGCCGUGUGGGAUAGGUGAAGUAGUACAGUAGUAGGAUUACUUUGUACAAUGUUCUGGAAUGAUUUCUCAAUUUUAGUUCACAGCUGCCCCUUUUAAGUGUGGGAGUUGGUAAUCAUUCCAAAACAUUCAUUCCUUGUGCUGCAAUCCUCCUCAUUCUUAUGUACAGUGUUUUUCUUUUGUAAUUUGUAUUUCAUUACAUGAUAGUAAAGCAUUUUUUUUUUUCACCCAAUAUUUAAAUGAAAAUAUGAAAACAAGCGAAAAUGGUGAAAUCCCA